GGAAUGAUCCUAUAAAGAAAUUGGAUAAGAACAAAUGAGUUGUAUUUAUUUAUUUUCGUAAGUGAUUGGAUCACCUAAUCUCCCCAAAUUAAUUAGCCAGCCCUCCUUGUUCGUUUGAUCAUCAACUACCCAUAGUUUUUCAAUCAUUCAAUUUUUCUUUCAUUUUUGCCAGCAGCAUAAUAAUGGAAAUCGAAACAGAUUCUUCAACGGAAAAGAAGCAUUUCAAAGUAUUCAGCGAACUGGAGUUGCAAGAAUUUCAAGACAAAUUCGUCAUCAGAUCACUUCAAUUCCCCGAUCGAGCCUUUUCUAUCGCUCGCUCCGAUGGAACCUUUCACGUCAAUGUAACAGGUGAAGUUGUUAAUCUGGAAGGUGCUUCCAAGGUUUAUACUGUUUUCGGAAUUGCCGGAUCAAUUCGGUUGCUUGCAGGAACAUACGUAUUGGUUAUCACUUCUCGCAAAGAGGUUGGCGCUUACCUUGGUUACCCCGUCUUCCGAGUCAUGUCUAUGAAGUUUUUAUCUUGUAAUGAAGGUUUAAAAAAUUUAACUAAUCAGCAAAAAAAAGACGAGGCAUACUUCCAGACAUUGUUGAGAACUGUGGAGGAGACACCUGGCUUGUAUUAUUCCUAUGAAACUGAUAUUACACUAAACUUGCAGAGACGAUACAAGAUGGCUGAUGGGUGGAUGAGUAAACCGAUUUGGAAGCAGGCUGACCCACGCUUUGUUUGGAACAGGAAUAUCUUAGAGGAGCUAAUUGAGAAUAAGGUCGAUGAGUUCAUUGUGCCGCUAUUACAAGGAAGCUUCCAGAUGGGACAGCUGAAGCUAAAUAAUUUAACAUCCACAAUUACAUUAAUAUCAAGGAGGUGCACAAGGCGUCUUGGUACUAGAAUGUGGAGACGCGGAGCAAAUCUAGAAGGGGAUACUGCUAAUUUUAUUGAAACCGAACAACUGCUGGAGUAUGACAAAUUCAAGUCAUCAUUUUUGCAGGUUCGAGGUUCGAUUCCGCUCUUGUGGGAGCAAAUUGUUGAUUUGAGUUAUAAACCUCAUCUUUCUGUCAUCGAGCAUGAAGAUACGCCCAUGGUUGUUAAACGCCACUUUCAUGAUCUUAUGCAAAGAUAUGGAAAUACAAUUGCUGUUGACUUAACUGAUAAGCACGGUAAUGAGGGCCAACUAAGCCUUGCAUUUGCCACCGAAAUGGAAAAGCUGCCGGAUGUUAGAUAUGUGUCAUUUGAUUUCCAUCAACGCUGUGGCGGAUCAAAUUUUGAAAGUUUGAAACUUCUCUACGAUGAAAUAGCCGAUGACUUUGACAAACAAGGCUCAGCAGAUACUUCCUCCAAACCAGUGACGGAGAGUUGGUAGAAGAGCAGAAAGGAGUAGUUCGAUCCAACUGUAUCGAUUGCCUUGACCGAACAAAUGUUACCCAGAGCUAUCUUGCACGAAUAUCGUUGAAUCAACAGUUGCAACGGAUGUGUGCGCUAACAUCUUCAGAACACGUUUGUACUUUCACAGGGGAUGAAGAUCUCGAGAUUUACAGAAACUUGUGGGUGAAUCAAGGUGAUGAGAUCAGCCUCGAGUAUUCCGGAACAAAUGCUCUAAAAGGAGAUAUCGUCAGAUAUGGGAAACAAACUAUAUCUGGAUUGAUAAAAGAUGGGAUUAGUGCUCUUUCGAGAUAUUAUUUAAAUAAUUUUCAAGAUGGAAUUCGACAGGAUGCAAUCGACCUGAUUUCCGGAAAUUAUACCGUCAGCGGAAACAGGCCUUCCCCGUUUCAGCUAAACAAGUUUGAGUCACGGACUUUAUUUCCGGUGGCAUCGGUUCUAUUGAUUGGAAGCUUGACAGUUACAUCCAUUACUCUUAACCGAGCGAGUCAAAAUGCGCAGACGGUAAUAUCUUCGGUUAUAUGUGCUGGUGCAACUGCAGGAAUGAUGGCUCUGGUAAAGGCAAAUGGAAGGCAAAUCUGUUCGAGGCCUCGUCUUUGCGGCCUUUUAUAAAUACAUUUCAUGUUAGUCGUAGUAUUUCAUGUCAUGGGGUUGACACUUUGUAUGUUUUAAUAAUGCUGAAAUGAAAUUUGAAAAUGUAUGGUUUUAUUUGAAAUUUCAUAUAUGGAAUGUAAAUUUACAUUUUUUUUUA